CGAAUCGAUAAAACCGGAAUCGAGUAAGGGUCUCGAACAAAUCUGGUUGCAACGUUGCUCCUACCAGCAUUGUAUCGUUUAACGCAAGCCCAUUGCUUGAUUUACAGGAUGCAUCAAAUACGACUCUCAACUUUGUCGUCAAACUUUCUGGGCGAAUCACCGGAUGAUGGGGCAUGAUAUAUUUCACCUCGUGUAUCUUAUCAGCCGCUACCUCCUCUAAAUGAUCCAAUUGUCUAUACUCAUCGAUAAAUUCUGCGUAAGCUCUCUUGAGCUCUGGAUUCUUACUGAACUUUCGUUCUAAGUUCAAAAACCUAGUCAAAGCGAUAUUAUAGGAAUCCCCUAGCGACUUCUGUGGCUGUGCAAAAGGCAAGCGAACUACUAUACGAUUAUCGUCUGUUCGUUUCACUGUAGCCACGAACAUCUCUUCACAAAUCCUUUCCGAUUCUGUUAAUACUUUUCCGGGUCGCAACACCUCUUCGCAUUGCCAGAACUGUUGCACCAAAUUUUGCAACUGGUCAGCCUCCUGUUGCCUUGGACCAUCAGGUUUAUUCACAAUCAACGCUACAUUCUCGUCAGGAAUACACUCGCCCACCACUAUCCAACCUAACAACGAUCUCUGUAGUACUGGCUUAUUUAAUCCCAUUCUAAUUUGACCAGCUACUAUUAGCUGAAAGAACAAAUUAACUCCAAGUAGCAUAUUUAUUUCUUCUGCCGAAUCAAAUGAAGGAUCUGCAAGUUUUACCUUCUUUGGAACUAGUGACUUUAAGACUCCUGUCGCUGUGGGAUGAUACCGUGUUAUUUCUGGCAAAACACUAAACUUGCCUGCUGCAACAAAGUUUGUCACUCUGGACUUGAACGUUGUUUCAAUCUCCCCGACAACCUCGGACUUUAAGUUUCCAAUACCAUUUAGUGAAUACUGCACUUCGCUGACUGGAAGGUUUAGCUGUGACGCAAAUCUGGCUGUCACAAAAUUAAUUUGACUACCUGAAUCUAAAACACAUCUGCAUUUAUAGAAUCUACUAUCUGCACCUUUAACCAGUACAAUGGCAGUAGCUAAAAAACUGGUUCCAUCUAUUUGUAAGAAGC
rnacentral:lncRNA from 1 species